rnacentral:rRNA from 1 species
UAGGGAAUCUUCCACAAUGGACGAAAGUCUGAUGGAGCAACGCCGCGUGAGUGAAGAAGGGUUUCGGCUCGUAAAACUCUGUUGUUAAAGAAGAACAUAUCUGAGAGUAACUGUUCAGGUAUUGACGGUAUCUUACCAGAAAGGAACGGCUAAAUACGUACCAG